rnacentral:misc_RNA from 1 species
GAAGUGCGAUAAGCAAUGCGAAUUGCAGAACCGUGAGUCAUCAGAUUUUUGAACGCAACUGGCGCUGAUUGGCUCUCCAGUCAGCAUGCUUGUUUCAGUGUCUCUUUAUCUCAUCACCCAUAUCAUAAUGCGAGAGAUACCCUUCUCUUGCUAAGCAUGAAAGUACUCUGUACUCUGCGAGUGAUCUCUUUUAGAGGUCACACUCACUGCAGUAGUCACAUUCUUGUAAUGUGAACUCAUUGAGAGUAGAGGCAGUGCAGCCUAGCUGCGAGUACUUAGACACUCAAACUUAUUUGUAUCUGAAAUCAAGCAGGAUUACCCGCUGAACUUAA